rnacentral:rRNA from 1 species
CCUACGGGAGGCAGCAGCAAGGAAUUUUGCGCAAUGGGCGAAAGCCUGACGCAGCAACGCCGCGUGGGUGAUGAAGGCCUUCGGGUCGUAAAGCCCUUUUGCUAGGGAAGAGAGAGGACGGUACCUAGCGAAUAAGCCUCGGCUAACUACGUGCCAGCAGCCGCGGUAAGACGUAGGAGGCGAGCGUUGUCCGGAAUUACUGGGCGUAAAGAGCGCGCAGGCGGCUUGAGAAGUCCCCUGUGAAAUCCCUCGGCUCAACUGAGGGGGGACAGGAGAUACUCGUGGGCUUGAGGGCAGCAGAGGAAAGUGGAAUUCCCGGUGUAGCGGUGAUAUGCGUAGAUAUCGGGAGGAACACCAGUGGCGAGGGCGGCUUUCUGGGCUGCCCCUGACGCUGAGGCGCGAAAGCGUGGGGAGCAAACGGGAUCAGAUCCCCGGGUAGU